ACGGGAGGUAGCAGUGGGGGAUAUUGCACAAUGGGGGAAACCCUGAUGCAGCAACGCCGCGUGAGGGAAGACGGUUUUCGGAUUGUAAACCUCUGUCUUCGGUGACGAUAAAAGACGGUAGCCGAGGAGGAAGCCACGGCUAACUACGUGCCAGCAGCCGCGGUAAUACGUAGGUGGCAAGCGUUGUCCGGAAUUACUGGGUGUAAAGGGUGCGCAGGCGGGGAUGCAAGUCAGCUGUGAAAACUAUCGGCUUAACUGAUAGACUGCAGUUGAAACUGUAUUUCUUGAGUGAAGUAGAGGUAGGCGGAAUUCCUAGUGUAGCGGUGAAAUGCGUAGAUAUUAGGAGGAACACCAGUGGCGAAGGCGGCCUACUGGGCUUUAACUGACGCUGAGGCACGAAAGUGUGGGGAGCAAACAGGAUUAGAUACCCUGGUA
rnacentral:rRNA from 1 species